AUUGAACGCUGGCGGCAGGCCUAACACAUGCAAGUCGAGCGGAUGAAGGGAGCUUGCUCCUGGAUUCAGCGGCGGACGGGUGAGUAAUGCCUAGGAAUCUGCCUGGUCGUGGGGGAUAACGUCCGGAAACGGGCGCUAAUACCGCAUACGUCCUGAGGGAGAAAGUGGGGGAUCUUCGGACCUCACGCUAUCAGAUGAGCCUAGGUCGGAUUAGCUAGUUGGUGGGGUAAAGGCCUACCAAGGCGACGAUCCGUAACUGGUCUGAGAGGAUGAUCAGUCACACUGGAACUGAGACACGGUCCAGACUCCUACGGGAGGCAGCAGUGGGGAAUAUUGGGCAAUGGGCGAAAGCCUGAUCCAGCCAUGCCGCGUGUGUGAAGAAGGUCUUCGGAUUGUAAAGCACUUUAAGUUGGGAGGAAGGGCAGUAAGUUAAUACCUUGCUGUUUUGACGGUACCAACAGAAUAAGCACCGGCUAACUUCGUG
rnacentral:rRNA from 1 species